GAUGAACGCUAGCGGCAGGCUUAACACAUGCAAGUCGAGGGGUAGGAGAAGCUCGCUUCUUUGAGACCGGCGCACGGGUGCGUAACGCGUAUGCAAUCUACCUUUCACAGGGGGAUAGCCCAGAGAAAUUUGGAUUAAUACCUUAUAGUAUUAUAGAAUGGCAUCAUUUUAUAAUUAAAGAUUUAUCGGUGAAAGAUGAGCAUGCGUCCCAUUAGCUAGUUGGUAUGGUAACGGCAUACCAAGGCUACGAUGGGUAGGGGUCCUGAGAGGGAGAUCCCCCACACUGGUACUGAGACACGGACCAGACUCCUACGGGAGGCAGCAGUGAGGAAUAUUGGACAAUGGGCGCAAGCCUGAUCCAGCCAUGCCGCGUGCAGGAUGACGGUCCUAUGGAUUGUAAACUGCUUUUAUACAGGAAGAAACACCUCUACGUGUAGAGACUUGACGGUACUGUAAGAAUAAGGAUCGGCUAACUCCGUGCCAGCAGCCGCGGUAAUACGGAGGAUCCAAGCGUUAUCCGGAAUCAUUGGGUUUAAAGGGUCCGUAGGCGGUCAGGUAAGUCAGUGGUGAAAGCCCAUCGCUCAACGGUGGAACGGCCAUUGAUACUGUCUGACUUGAAUUAUUAGGAAGUAACUAGAAUAUGUAGUGUAGCGGUGAAAUGCUUAGAGAUUACAUGGAAUACCAAUUGCGAAGGCAGGUUACUACUAAUUGAUUGACGCUGAUGGACGAAAGCGUGGGUAGCGAACAGGAUUAGAUACCCUGGUAGUCCACGCCGUAAACGAUGGAUACUAGCUGUUGGGAGCAAUCUCAGUGGCUAAGCGAAAGUGAUAAGCAUCCCAC
rnacentral:rRNA from 1 species